rnacentral:lncRNA from 1 species
CAGUGUCAUAUAUGAGGACGAGGUUCAUGCAACACUUGUUAACCACCAAACCACCAAGUGUUGAUCAACACAAUGGGGACUAGCGUGCCAGCAAGCACGUGAACCUUAGGAGAGUAUAUGUUCAUGUGUACUCUGAACAUAUAUUGGACCUUACAACAUCGGUCCUCUGAAGAGCUAGAUAUGUGGUGGCAGAUUUCUCCUACAACUAAAAAGAACAAAAGGAAGAUAAUCUUUUGGUGCAACAUUUGUUUUGGUGUCA